AAAAUCGUUACCAUUACCGUUUGUUUUGCUGUUGGUCAAUCUUAUUUUCUUCAUAAUUUAAGUUAAAGAAUGGAAUAGAAUUCAUGUAAGUACAUGUGGAAGACCACUGAUUUAUGGCUGUGAUAUUGGAGAAAUAACAGGAGAUUUACAUAGCAAAUAUAGUUUGUCACAGAUGUCACAAGGACUGUUAAACUAAUUGUAGAGGCAUUGUGCGUGCAAGGUUUAGCAUUCCAUACCUGGUUUCAAGGACAGUUUAAGAAGAAUUUGUCUUCAAGUGGUAUUCAGUAGAAUAAGAAUUCCGUUCAAAAUUUUGGAUUACAUUUUUUAAAACUAGUUACUUUCGUGGGUAUCAGUCAGAAAAAUAUAUUGACACCAGUCACUGCUGCUCAUUACUGUGUACCAGUCACACAAUACAUUGGCAUCAGUCAGCUUCACUUUUCUGGUACCAGUCAUGGAAGAUUGACACCAGUUAACUUCACAUUCCUUGUACCAGUCACAGAAUAUAUUGGCACCGUUCAUCCUUGUUUUUCUGGUACCAGUCACGAAACAUACUGGCACAAGUCACAGCUUUACAUUUUCAGUACCAGUCACAGAAUGUAGGUAGUGGUCGCAGUCUGGGAGAUUAGAUGAACAUUAUGUUGUUUACUUGAAAUAUUCACUCAUGUCUGUGCAUGUACAGUCUGAAUCUGUCAAUUCUACAGCUAUACUGCAUGAGGAAGCCAAAAGUUUACUGACUCCAGGACAGAUUGCUGUUAUAACAAUCAGCACAACCUUUGCUUUCUACAUCACAAUUAUGUUUGUUGUUUGUAUGGGCGAGUAUUGUCAGUACAAAAAUGGCAAGAAAAGAAAGAUGGAGAUGAGGAGAAAAAGACAUUCAGGUAAUACUCCAUCAGCUGGGAAUUUCGACAGUGAGAUAAGGUCAGGGUCGCAGUUUGAGUCGAGUAUAAGUCAGUCUGACUACACGUCCUCAUUUCAGGCGAGACAGUCCUCUAGGUAUGAGCCUAAACCGACAACGUCAAAAAGGCAAGACAGUGUUCAGUACCAUUCCAGAGACACAAAAGUCAAUACUGGGCCAAGAACCAGUAUUUCUAAUGACGAUAUAGUGACGAUUCCAUUCGAGGAGAGCUUGAGUAAUGUAAACACUGACUGUGAUACUACUUGUGACAAUGGCAGCCAAGACGUUGUUAUGCUUCCUCUCAUUUCGAGACAGUGCGAUGAUAUUUUAGACAUAGACGGAGAGAUUUUCUGUGAUAGCGUUGAUUCUCGGGGCAUGUAUCGUUUAGAAGCCGAUGUCUGAAUUUCAAACAUGGCUGAAACAAAAAUGUCUGGUCUUAAGUGUAUUUAUUUCAGCAUAAUGUAAGUGUAUGAAAUUUUAAAAGUUUUCUGUAUGUUUUUAAUAUUGCUAUAAAGCUUCAGCAAUUGUCUAGUGUAAGUAUUUACAAUACAAAAACAUGACAAAUGUAUCAAUUACAGUAACUUAUUUGUACCUAUGAUUCAUUGCAAUGAAUAUAUUUUAAUCCAUGGUUUAUCAGGUGUAAGUAUUAAAUUGGCUUCCGGUGAUUAUCUUCAUAAAUCUUCAUUAUUAUUUAUAUAAUUCCACAUACAUUGAACUGUAGGGAUUUUCAAGUAUUUUUAUGCCCCCAGCAUCUACUGAUGCGGGAGGCAUAUAGUGAUUGUCCUGUCGGUCCGUUCGUUCGUUCGUCCGUCCAUACGAGGUUAACAAAAUGGGACCGUUUCAUCUAGCAUCAAUACCCCUUACAAGAAUGAAUUGAUACUAAUACAGAUGUAAACUGUGACCAUUCCUCAUCUUCAAACAUCACCUGACCUCAGUUUGACCUUGACCUCAUUUUGGACUUAGGUGCAAAAUCAAUUGACAAGGAUGCCACUGGGGGCAUCAAGCGUUUAUUGAAUGCAGCUUCUUGUUUCAUAUGAUAUAUUUAUUUAUUAUCCCCCGCCGAUGAAAUCGGGAGGGGGGUAUUGAAAUGGCGUUGUCCGUCCAUCACGUCCGUGUGUGCGUGCGUGCUUGCCUCCGUCCGCAGCCAUUUCUCAGUAACUAGCAGGUAGAAUUUCAUGAAACUUGAAAUAAACAUGAACCAACAUACUGCGAUGAUGCCCGUCAAGUUUUUUUUUUGAUUGGUCAAUUUCCCUUAGAGUUAUUGCCCUUGAUUUAAUGAAAAAUGCCCAAAAAUGUCCGUCCGCAGCCAUUUCUCAGUAACUAGCAGGUAGAAUUUCAUGAAACUUGAAAUAAAUAUGAACCAACAUACUGCAAUGAUGCCCAUCAAGUUUUUUUUGAAUUGGUCAAUUUCCCUUAGAGUUAUUGCCCUUGAUUUAAUGAAAAAUCCACAUCUGCAGCCAUUUCUCAGUAACGAGCUGGUGGAAUUUCAUGAAACUUAAAAUAAAUAUGAACCAACAUACUUCGAUGAUGUCUGUCAUUUUUUUUUUCAAUUGGUCAAUUUCCCUUAGAGUUAUUGCCCUUUAAUUGUUUGAAAAUCUACAGAUUUGUACAUAACAAACCAACCAAUUGGUAGAAUUUCAUAAAACUUCUUUCAUUCUUUUCCAUGAACAUUUAUUGUAAACAUGUGAAGUUGUGUACCCACACCUGUCACCACCUUGCCUUCGUCACACCCCCUCCCCCUCCCAACCCCCCACCUCACCUCCCCCCCCCCUCCCAUGAAUAUUUAUCAACAUGCAAGUUGUACUGUUCCCCCACCUCACUCCUCCACCAAAUCAUCCCCCCGCCCCCUCUCCCAUUUUUUUUUUUUUCUUUUCAUUUUUUUAAUUUUCCAUCAAUAUUUCAAUAUUUAUAAUCAACAUCAAUAAUCGAUGUUUUGUACCCUCACCCAGUCACCCCUGCUGCCCCCGCUUCCCCAACCAAAAAAUAUCAUUCAUUUUCUGUUAAAUUGAUUUUGACAAAUGAAAUUAUUUGCUUCUUAGUAACAUCCUUAACUUUUUGCCAGAUAUAUUUUUUUGCCAUUCCUGACCACAAACCCUUUCGGCGGGGGAUACCAAUUCAUCGAAUUUGCUUGUUAUUUAUUAUAAUUGAUAAAAAUAAUUUAUAAUAUAAUAUAUAAAUUCCAUAAUUAACGUUUAAUAAUAAUUUUUUUUUUAAAUUUAUAUUUCUUAGAAAAUUUCUGGGAUAUUCUGAAGUUGUGACAGAAAUUGCACAUUUUUUACCACAACCUUUUCCACUGGGCAUAUUUUUAUAUUUUUUGCCUGAUUAAGUAGCUUAUAAUAAAUAUCAUAUACAGCAAAACAAAAACAUAAAAGUCCUGAGUAUCUUUGCUUUUUUUCUGAGAUAUUUAGAUAAAUUACUCUAAUUUAGAAUGACUUCCAAAAAAUAACUCAUUUCUAGAUGUCAUAUUUUUAGAACAAAUAGUUAUUCUUUUUACUAAUUUUGAUUGCCUAUAUUUAAGAAAUAAUUUAUAGUAAAAGAGUGCUUUAACACUAUUUAUGCACGAUGGGCGGUUAUUCGUUGGGCGAAAUAAUUUCACGAGGGCAUAGCUCGAGUGAAAUUAUUUGUACGACAUGUUACCACCCGAGUGUAUAAAUAGUGUUAAAACAUGGUUCUGCUAUCAAUUAUUUCGAUUCUAAUAUGCCCUUAAUCUAAAACAGUAGAUAAAAUAUAGAAGCGCUCUUUCUUGGUCGCAACAAAAACUUUGACGUCACCACACGUUAACGUGAAGUCAUUCUAGCGUAAGCAUGGUAAGAGUGUUUUAAAAGAGACAAGCAUAUUAGAAUGUUUGAUAACAGUAUAAAGUGUCGCUAUAACAUGCAUACAAUUUGUGCAUCAAAGUAAAGAGUAACAACAAUAAACUGCAUUUUCAUUACAUACCGUUUUAGGUUUUUACUUGCGAAAGAAUUUUCAUUAGAUUAAGUUAAAUUGUCUGAUAUUGUCUGCUACUAUUCAACUUUUUAUUUCAUCCCUAAGGAGAAUCAGUAACAGGUUGGCAACUGUGCUAUAGGUUGCCCAGUAACAUCUCCCGGAAAUGCCUUUGAGGUAGUAAACACAUAAUUAUCUCUUUACAGUAUGUGAUAAAAUUUUCUCCUCAUCCUACUUAACCAUUAUUUGGCGCGUAAUUAUAAACCACUUACUUCGUAUACAAUCUGUGAAGUACUGAUUUUUAUCAGUAUAAUAGAAUUAUGCUGAUAUUGUCAUAACACCAUGUAUGACAUUUACUGUGAAACAUCUACUUGUACUGAAAAGCUAAAAAUAACUUAUAUGAUUUCAUGAUUUUUAUAUACUUGAGUAUCUAUUUGGAUCAUUAUAGAUACAUUGUAUCUGAGAAAUUUACAAGGACCAAUUAGAUUUCAAACAGGGUAAUAUAUUUAUUUGAAAUUAAAGAUGUUGCGAUUCCUGAUUGCAUAUGUGUAGUAUGUCCCUUAUAAGUAAAUGUUUACAUGUAGUAGUUAUGCCCCCCUUCAAAGAAGGAGGGGUAUAUUGUUUUGCAGAUGUCCGUCAGUCUGUUGGUCACUCGGUAUGUAGACCUAUCCGUUUCUGGAUGAUAACUCAAGAAUGCUCGGGCUUAGGAUCACGUAAGUUGAUAGGGAGGUUGGUCAUGACCAGCAGAUGACCCUAUUGAUUUUGAGGUCCGUAGGUCAAAGGUCAAGGUCACAGUGACCUGGAACAGUUAAACAGUUUGGUCAUGACCAGCAGAUGACCCUAUUGAUUUUGAGGUCCGUAGGUCAAAGGUCAAGGUCACAGUGACCUGGAACAGCUAAACAGUUUCCGGAUUAUAACUCAAGAAUGCUUGGGCCUAGGAUCAUGAAAGUUGAUAGGGAGGUUGGUCAUGACCUGCAGAUGACCCCUAUUGAUUUUGAGAUCAGUAAGUCGAAGGUCAAGGUCUCAGUUAUCCGGAACUGUUAAACGGUUUCCGGAUGAUAACUUAAGAUUGCUUGGGCCUAGAAUCAUGAAAGUUGAUAGGGAGGGUAAUCAUGACCAGCAGAUGACCCCUAUUAAUAAGGUCAGUAGGUCAAAGGUCAAGGUCACAGUGACUGGGAACAAUAGAACUUUUGUGUACAGUGACAAAAUAAUUUCUGUUCCUUGUGCAGUUACUGAAUGCAUCAAGGGGGGCAUUUCGUGUUCUUCGAGCUCUUGUUUAAUACUAGUAACAAUAAGCAUCAAUUUUGUUAAAUCCCAGUAGAUUUCUCAAUUAUUUUAUCUUAUAAAUUUGUUAUCCAAGAGUUAAUCUCAUUAUUAAAUAGCUGGUUAAUGGCCAAAAUCUCUAAAUUUUAUGCCAAUGGGGAACAAAAUGACUGUACAGUAUUUAACAUUGUUUUCAUUUAUGAAAAUAUAUUUUUCAUAUUUAAGCAUUUACUGUCAAUUUCUGUUACAACAGUGUUCAUGAGAUAAUAUACAUGUAUCAUAAAUUAACAGAGAAGAGUAGGAUCAUUCUUUAUUAGUGGCUGCCAUAUGAUAGGAAUUAUUUCCAUGUUAACAUGGUAGAUAUGACAUGAUAGAUCAUGACAAAACUUUGUUGGGUAUAUUUUACUGAAGUAUCUUUGUACAUAAGCAGAACACAAGAAUGUUCAGAUACUGUUCAUUCUACCCAAUUUAUUGCCAGAUAUUGUUAAUCGCCUAUGAAACAAAUGGGCAAGUAGAAACUUUUUAAUUCUUCCAUUAUUUGUACUAGAAUUCUAUAUGAGGUUUUAAGUAUAUUUGUUACCUAGAAAGCAUACACUAUUGCAUUGAUGUUGAAAUGGAAUCUUUGUAUAAAACCACUCAUUUCCUUUAAUAAUAGCAGAUUUCUUACACUUUUACAGAUAAUGGCUAUUUAACAGGUCCAUAUUUGCUUCAUUGUUGUAAUUAUGUCUAAGUCUGAUGGUUUUGAUUGUAUUGUAAAAUAUUAUAUAUUUGAGGUAGAUAGAUAUGUCUGUAUUUCAGAUUGCUCUCAUAUUGUCUGACAAUCCAAUACUUUGUAAAUCAGCCUUACCAUUUCUCCAUGUAUUGAUCAGUGUUGUUAAUAUUCCUAAUCGUGGUUGUGCUUUUAAGCAUACUUUGUUAAAGCUCAAGUCUAGGCUUGGUAUGACUAAUCUGUGUUGUUGAUCAAGUCUUAAUCAUUUUUACUUGCUCCAUAUCUGUAUACAUGUAUAAUUAAGACCGUAAAAAGUGCACCAAAAGAAGUUGGUAUGAUCCUGGGAAAAGGCAAAUUAUGUCAUGUGAGGAGAUCAUACUGUGACACUUUGAAGAGCUUUAAGGGACCAACACAUAAUAUUUCUCAUUUUCCAUUUCUACAAGGAAUGUUUGUGUGUAGAUGUAAUACAGAUUUGUUAAUUUAAUGUAUAUUGUAUUCGUUCAAGUUAUGGCUAUGCUAUUGCUGUGAUAAAUGUUGAUGAAUUCUUUAAGUAUUUCCUCUGCUUCACCAUUGUGAACACAUUUUCAUAUUUCAGUCUGAACUACUAUAAAAUCAGAUGUUUUCACAGGACCUAAAGAUUGCUGUAUUUGUAAUAGGAACGGGUUCACAAGGUAGAAUAUUUGUGGUAUAUGACCAUCUUGUAAAACAUAUAUGGUUAUUUUUAAUUAACAGCACUUUAUGAGUAUUUAUUUUAAAGGGGCAAGCCUCCGGAUCUACUUGAAAAUUCCAAAUUAUUUAAAACAGAUGGCAGUUAAAAUUAAAUACCAAUUUAAAAAUGAUAAACCAGUAUUAUUCAAAUAGGUAUUAUAAUGUGUAUGCCACAAAAUACAGCUUAAUGUCUUCUAUUUUAUAUCAAAUUUCAGUAGCGUGACUGACAGUUUUCUGCAUAUGUUAUUGAUUGAGAAGAUGUUAUUGGAGAUAACAAGUUCCUACAACUACAUACGGAAUCACUUUACAAUGUCUUUCUAUUGCAAUUACAAUCUAAAGAAAGUCUUUUCUAAAUUUUGAACAUGCAGCUUUAACAAAUAUGGCAAAAAUAAAUUUCUUGUGAAAAUACUUGAUUUUACAUUAAGUUCUCUUGAUGCUUUAAACAUUGUAUUUGUCUCAAUUACAAAUGUCGCGUCUUCCUAACUGUCUUCUUUCACGCCUGACGAAUAUAACAGUGCUGUAACAAGAACAGUUUUGUCAAACAUGUCCGAGGCUGAAUUUUUUGUUAAUUUUCAGUUUUUGAUGAUGUGAAACAGUUUUACAGUGAACAUUCAAGAAUAUGUUAAUUUUAAGAUAGUAUUGAUUUAGUUAUGUUGAAUAGUUUUCAAUUAGUUAUGAAUAGGGCAUUUUACUUUUCAAAAUAUACAUGUAUGCUUUUUAAAUGUUUUUCACACCAGUGCCAAUAAUGAGUCAUAUAUAAUGACCACUUUGUUACAUGUCCAUACAAAGUAAAAUUUAAUGCAUGUUUGGAAAAUGAAUAUUGUUUAAAUCAUUAGAUAUUCGGGAAUGUAAGCAGGAUCUUUCUGAAAUAUGGAAUUUACUUCUUCUUGUUUUAAUAUCACGUUCAUUGACAAAAUAUAACAAAUUAGAAAAUGUUCAUAUCCAUCAAAGGUAUUUUUUCAGUAGCUGUUAAGUUGUUAAUAGAUUAUGAGGAGCAAAAGCUAUAUAUUUUCUCAAAUUUAGCAUAGAAGAAAUUUCAGUUUAUUUAGCAGGCAGUAUUAUAUAGAAUAUAAGAUGCAUUGCAUUAAGUUACAAGAUGUCAUGAACUCGAGAAACAUAAUCAGUUACACAGAGGCAAUUCAAUCACUGAAUCCGAGAAACAUAAUCAUGUAAAUAGAGAUGAUUAAACCUCUGAAACUGAGAAACAUCAUUGUCCCAACAGAGGUGAUAGCUGAGGUUGACAUCAAUAAAUCAAGGGUUCACAGUAUGUGCUAACAUUCUCAAAUGCAUGUGUUAUUUUUAGCUCACCUGAGCAAUGCUCAGGUGAGUUUUUCUGAUCGCUCGAUGUCCGGCGUCUGUCGUCUCUCUGUCGUCCGUCAACAUUUAGCUUGUGUAUGCGAUAGAGGCUGUAUUUUUCAACUGGUCUUCAUGAAUUUUGGUCAGAAUGAUAACCUUGAUGAAAUCUAGGCCGAGUUCGAAAAUGGGUCAUCUGGGGUCAAAAACUAGGUCACUAGGUCAAAUCAAAGAAAAACCUUGUGUAUGCGAUAGAGGCUGUAUUUUUCAAUUCUUCUUCAUGAAUAUUAGUCAGAAUGAUAACCUUGAUGAAAUCUAGGCCGAGUUCGAAAAUGGGUCAUCUCGGGUCAAAAACUAGGUCACUAGGUCAAAUCAAAGAAAAACCUUGUGUAUGCGAUAGAGGCUGUAUUUUUCAACUGAUCUUCAUGAAUAUUGGUCAGAAUGAUUGCCUUGAUGAUAUCUAGGUAGGCCGAGUUUGAAAAUGGGUCAUCUCGGGUCAAAAACUAGGUCACUAGGUCAAAUCAAAGAAAAACCUUGUGUAUGCGAUAGAGGCGGUAUUUUUCAAUUGAUCUUCAUGAAUUUUGGUCAGAAUGAUUACCUUGAUGAAAUCUAGGCCGAGUUUGAAAAUGGGUCAUCUCGGGUCAAAAACUAGGUCACUAGGUCAAAUCAGGGAAAAACGUUGUGUAUGCGAUAGAGAAUGUAUUUUUCAAUUGAUCUUCAUGAAUUUGGUCAGAAUGAUUACCUUGAUGAAAUUUUGACCAAGUUCGAAAAUGGGUCAUCUGGGGUCGAAAACUAGGUCACUAGGUCAAAUCAAAGAAAAACCUUGUGUAUGCAAUAGAGGCUGUAUUUUUCAACUGAUCUUCAUGAAAUUUAGCCAGAAUGAUUACCUUGAUCAAAUCUAGGCCGAGUUCGAAAAUGGGUCAUCUGGGGUCAAAAACUAGGUCACUAGGUCAAAUAGAAGAAAAACAUUGUGUAUGCAAUAGAGGAUGUAUUUUUCAAUUGAUCUUCAUGAAAUUUGGUCAGAGUGAUUGCCUUGAUGAAAUCUAGGUCGAUUUUGAAUAUGGAUUAUCUGACAUCAAAAACUAGGUCACCAGGUCAAAUUAAAGAAAAAUCUUGUGUAUGCGAUAGAGACUGUUUUUUUCAAUUGAUUUUUAUGAAAUUUGGUCAGGAUGAUUGCCUUAAUGAAAUCUAGGUCGAAUUUGAAUAUGGGUCAUCUGAGGUCAAAAACUAGGUCACUUGGUCAAAUCAAAGAAAAAACUUGUGUAUGUGAUAGAGGCUGUAUUUUUCAAUUGAUCUUCAUGAAUUUUGGUCAGAAUGAUUGCCUCGAUAAAAUUUGUCGAGUUUGAACAUGGGUCAUCUAGGGUCAAAAACUAGGUCAUAUCUAAGAAAAUGCUUGUAUUAUUGCAAGAGACCAAUUUUUUGGUCCAAUCUUAAUGAAAAUUGGUCAGAAUAUUUGUUUCCAUGAAAUCACUAGGUCAAACUUGUUUUACACUGUUAUGGAGUGCUUCUUAGGUGAGCGACCUAGGGCCAUCUUGGCCCUCUUGUUUUCUUUUACACUGAAAAAUAUAAUAUUAAAAUAUAUACAAUGUAAAGAGAUGAUUUUUAGGGGUAUAACAUUAGGAUGUUGCAGGGGUAGCAUUAACAUUUUGUAACUGUCAGAAUGUUACAUGGGUGAGCUUAAGAAUUUUUAGGAAUAUUAUGAAGGGAAAUGCAGGUGAGUUCCCAUUUGGUUCUGGGACAACUUGUGUAUGAAAUGAAUUGGAACCAGUGUCUCAUACUUGCAUGAUCAUUAGAGGUCACGGAUAGGGUCUGAACACUUCCUUUUACUGUAUCUCUGAAUGCAACAGAUAUAAAACUUUCGACCCUUAACAGGUAUUUUUAUUUCAAUGUAAAUGAGAUAUGAAACCACAAUUUUAAGUCCUGUUUGGCACCAUAUAACCGGUACUAGGUAGAUGUACAGUAAAACCCAAAUCAGUCAAUCAGUAUGAAAAUAUAUUUUACCGUAGGUGAAACUGUGGUUUUGAUAUAUUUUGAAAAUGCACUGUUCAAAUUGCCAAUGUGGUAUGCAUCUUCAUAAUAAUAAGGCUCAAAACAUAUUUCAUUAACUACCAGAACAGUGAUUUAGUGCUGUGUGAAUUAGUACUUGUCCUCGGACUGUAAAACACUGUUGCCAUUUACAUAUACGUAAGACAUAGUUUCCCUUUAUAUUCAUCUUUCUCUGUAGAAGUAUGAUACACAUCUAUCCUUUUAUGGACACUUUUUCCUGGUAUUCUAAGAGCUAUUAAAUGGCUUAAGUCUGUAAAAGCUAGAUUUAAUUAAAAUCAAUGAGUCUGUACAGAUACUAGAGCUUUUACAUUUUAUAGAACCACUGCUUUUUCUAUUUUCCCCAGAAAUGUUAUGGAAAUAGAUAAUUACCACUGAAAAUUGUCUCAAUACAUCAGCUUUGAGGUAUUUAUAUUAUUUCGUAUUAACAGUGCCGGUAAUUGACUGCAUGGAAUUUUGUCAUGGGCAGAACUGAUCUUUUGCGAUUCUUGUACUGAAUUCAGGACAGCAUUUUUGCAAUGAUUAUAAUCAAAUGCCAAAUUGAUUGAUGUAGAAUUUCUUCAUUUUAUGUUAUAUUAACAAGGGACAUUCUAUGAAUAAUGAAAUUGCUUGUCUUUUAUUGUGUGCUGAAUAAAUUGUAACAUAAUACAUUACAAUUCACAGGAUUAAUGGACAUGAUUUCUUAAAGGUUGUUGAAUAAUUAGAAAUAACCAAAGAAGGUAUCUCAGAACAAAUCGUCAUUUAUAUGACUGAAAAAUUGUUGAAAAAGACGUUAAACCCGAACACACACACGGAACAAAUUGGAACAUAUUUAUUUGGGUUUCUUAGCAACACAGGCCUUUCUAAAAUAUUAAGUUCUAAUUUCUUGAAUGUUCUUGCAAGGAGAAUUACCAGUGUCUCACGGCUGUUGUUAAUUUUUAAAGAGAUACUUGUAUCAAACGUGUAACAAAGAAUAAUAAAGAUCCUUUAUUUCAUUUUGCAGCAAUGGCAGAUAUUACCUUGGCAAACAUUCAUGGCAUUUUGUAUAUUUUGUAACCAUUUAUCACUUGUAAAACAAAAUGAAGUAGAAAUUCUUUAUCAGAAGUCUUUUUGAUACAGUGGAGACUUUUUAAUGUCAUAUGGUUGGAAAGGAUUUAUAGACAAUCUUUUGACAGCAGAAAUCCAUUACUUUAUAGUAAGCAUCAAUGUCUCGUCAUUGAAUAGUCUGAGUGUAAUGAAUUGUUACUAAAUCAUAUAAAUACACUUAACAAAACUUCCAACGCCCCCUCAGUAUCUUUGACAAAUCUUUAAUAUUACUUAAAGUACAUUUUGAUUUUUUUCACACAUUUAAAAAUAUUUUGUUAAUAACAUAUUUAAAUCUAAACAAAAUUGACUGAUGAUACGGUAUUAUUUUACCUAUUCUGUUCAGCCUCAAUUCAGUUUUUAAAAGUCACAAAAAUACACAUAAAUGUGUAGAAUUUAGAAACAAGCAAAUUUUAUACAAGACGGUAAAAUCAUAAAAUAAAUGAAAUGAGAGCUAAAAUUGCGCUAUCCAAUGUUGUUGAAAUUUUAACAUUUUAUCUACAAGAGUUAUUUGUAAUGUGUAGGAAGUUUGAUAAAUGCUCUACAAGAAUUAUGAAAAAUAUUGCCAAAAUAUCCAAAAGGUGUUAAAAAUUUCAAUAGGUAUAUAAUAGACUUUUUGCCUUACAGAAAUUGUCGCAUUAUAUAUUGAUCAUUGAAUGACCCUGAUAUGUAUAUGUUACAGCUUGUUAAGUUGAAAGUGAUUUGUUAUUGACCACUUACUAGUGUAUGUAACAGUGUUUCAGCCAAUGUCUUAUAUUUAUAAACUGAUCAUUUUAUUUAAAUAUCAUUGUGUACAGAAGAGAUUAAUGUAUUGAUUGAUGUUUAUAUUGUGUAUAUCAUGUUACCAAAUGGCCAAAAAAUCUAAGUUAUUUAUUGAAAUUAGAGAUGUUGCAGUUGUAAUACUUGUAUGUUUACAUGUACGUGUAGUGAAUCUAAAAUCAUAAUGAUGAGCACCUGCUCUAGUUUACUCAUUGUGGGUUGGUUGGUAGGUCGGUGUGUAGAUCCUUCGGCUAGUAGACCAUUUGGCUUCAGUAUAUCAAAGGUCAAGGACACAGUGACCUUGAGACUGAAAACUGUUUCUGCUCAAUAACUGAAGAACGCUUCGGCCUAGAGUCGUCAGACUUUGUAGGAUGAUUGCAUGUGAUCAGUAGAUGUCCCUUAAUGUGUCGGGGUCAGUAGGUGAAAGAUCAUGGUAAAAGUGACCUUGAGACUGAAUGCUUUGGCUUACAGUUGUCAAACAUCUUGGGGUGAUUGCCUGUAGUCAGUAGAUUACUUUUUGUGGGGGUUCAUUAGAUCAAAGGUCAAGGUCAGAAUAGCAUUAAGACUGGAAACGGUUUCUGCUCAAUAACUAAAAAAGCUUUGGCCUACAAUUGUCAAACUUCAUAGGAUAAUUGCCUUUGGCGUUUAUAUGACUCAUAUUUUUUGUGGUGGUGAGGGGGUACUAGUUGGAAAGUCAAGUGAUUUCCAUCUGAAAAUUGUUUCUAUUAAAAAAUCAAUGGACACUUCGGCUCUCAGUCUUCAUAGACUGGUUGUCGGUAGUCAGUAGAUAACCGCAGUUCUUUUUGAUGUCAUUUGGUCUAAGGUAAGGGUUUCAGCAUAUAAAAUUAAUACCCUCUUGCCUCUGACAGGCUGUCAUGUGGUGCACUUCUGUUUUACAAAUAGGUCUUGUUCAAACAGCUAAAUUGCGUUUCUAGCCACACGUAAUUUUGCAUGUUAAAAAUGUGUACAGCUGUAUUAUGUGAAUGUCUUCAAGCUUGAUCUGAAUUUAUGAUACCUUCAUUGUCAGUUUUAAGAAAUCUUACACAUGUUAUCUACGAAAUUGUAAAAUCGUAACCUGUUUAGUAUAUCAGCUAUAUUUGUCAGUGAAUCAAGCAUUAUUGUAUGUUGUAACAUUUACCUGAGCUUAUUUUUAUUGAUACAAAUAGUGUCAUAUUGUGAUUUGCCAUUUUUCUUCCGGAAGCUAAAAUAUAAAACUUAAAUCAG